CCUACGGGAGGCAGCAGUGAGGAAUAUUGGUCAAUGGACUCAAGCCUGAACCAGCCAUGCCGCGUGCAGGAUGACUGCUCUACGAGUUGUAAACUUCUUUUAUACAGGAAUAAAGUGAGGCACGUGUGCCUUUUUGUAUGUACUUUACGAAUAAGGAUCGGCUAACUCCGUGACAGCAGCCGCGGUAAUACGGAGGAUCCGAGCUUUAUCCGGAUUUAUUGGGUUUAAAGGGAGCGUAGAUGGAUAGUUAAGUCAGUGGUGAAAUUGUGCGGCUCAACCGUACAAUUGCAUCUGAUACUGGCAGCCUUGAGUACAGUUGAGGUAGGCGGAAUGCGUGGUGGAGCGGUGAAAUGCUUAGAGAUCACGAAGAACUCCGAUUGCGAAGGCAGCUUACUAAACUACCACUGACAUUGAGGCACGAAAGUGUGGGGAGCAAACAGGAUUAGAUACCCCGGUAGUC
rnacentral:rRNA from 1 species